rfam:Myotis lucifugus cont2.44406, whole genome shotgun sequence.
GGCCAGGUAGCUCAGUUGGUUAGAGUGUCGUCUCCAUAAGCCAAGGUUGUGGGCUCAAUCCCCUUUCAGGUCA